AGUCUGUGAUGUAUUUUAAAUGUAAGAGUAGUGGACAGAAGUGAUUUCUGACAAAUGUUACACUGAGACU